rnacentral:rRNA from 1 species
UACGGGGGGGGUAAGCGUUGUUCGGAAUUACUGGGCGUAAAGGGCGCGUAGGCGGCCACCGCAAGUCGACUGUGAAAUCUCCGGGCUUAACCCGGAAAGGUCAGCCGAUACUGCGGGGCUAGAGUGCAGAAGGGGCAACUGGAAUUCUCGGUGUAGCGGUGAAAUGCGUAGAUAUCGAGAGGAACACCUGCGGCGAAGGCGGGUUGCUGGGCUGACACUGACGCUGAGGCGCGAAAGCUAGGGGAGCGAACGGG